rnacentral:lncRNA from 1 species
CAAGAUGCUGUAAGUAAACCCCACUUCCCCUACUCAGUCCUGUCUAGAGCUGGAACUUGCUGUGAAAUGGACAGAAGAUUGUUGGUCCCUGCCUUCUCAAGAAUACUCCAGAACCUUCCACCAUGUCUCUUUGUGAAACCGUCCCAGUGAACAGAGUCAGAAGUCCACAAGGACCCACCCUGAGACUCCUCGUGGCCUGCACACAUGGUAGAAUCAACUUCCAUAUGUUCUUGGGCCCUCACCAGCAAUACCCAGCGUGCCCCAUGCUGAGUCCCAAGGGAGCCAGGUAGAAAGGAUGACCCUACAGGCAAUGAGGGACACAAGACCAAGGAUUGCUGGCUACAGGAAAUGGAUCCUAGAAGGAGUCAUUUGUGGAUACCCCCUUGCAGCAGAGGGUCCCUGUUCUCUUGGCUGGUGCACUUGGCGCCUCCUCAGCUGGUGCCUUUUGACACUGUUUGGACUGAUUUUCAGCAGGCUCCUGGACUUUGGCAUCCCUUCUCCACAAAUACAGCCACCAAGAAGGCCACAGCCAUCCCCAGCCCUGGUGACGCUGGCCUUUGGCAGCAGACAGCUUAGCCCUCCUUCAUGUUCCUGCUGACAUCCGAGGAAAAGUCAUCGAGAUACCACGAAGCAAGCAGCACCUUCUUGCUAAAAGAGGUUUCCUUCUCAUGUCCCAGCGCAAUUCAGGCUGCAAGCCACCAGAGGAAACUUCAUUUUUACCCUACAUUUCCUGCCCAGUUCACUGUGUAAUUGGCCUGUGCUUCCCCCUCGGUGAUUUAGCAGGGAGUGCCUCAUCUUAUAAAAAGAAUAAAUCUGAAUAAAACCCAGGGAGCA